CUGGCUCAGGAUGAACGCUGGCGGCGUGCUUAACACAUGCAAGUCGAACGAAGCACUUCAUAAAGCUUGCUUUAAGAAGUGACUUAGUGGCGGACGGGUGAGUAACGCGUGGGUAACCUGCCUUACACAGGGGGAUAACAGUUAGAAAUGACUGCUAAUACCGCAUAAAACAGCAGAGUCGCAUGACUCAACUGUCAAAGAUUUAUCGGUGUAAGAUGGACCCGCGUCUGAUUAGCUAGUUGGUGGGGUAACGGCCUACCAAGGCGACGAUCAGUAGCCGGCCUGAGAGGGUGAACGGCCACAUUGGGACUGAGACACGGCCCAAACUCCUACGGGAGGCAGCAGUGGGGAAUAUUGGACAAUGGGCGAAAGCCUGAUCCAGCGACGCCGCGUGAGCGAUGAAGUAUUUCGGUAUGUAAAGCUCUAUCAGCAGGGAAGAAAACGACGGUACCUGACUAAGAAGCCCCGGCUAACUACGUGCCAGCAGCCGCGGUAAUACGUAGGGGGCAAGCGUUAUCCGGAUUUACUGGGUGUAAAGGGAGCGUAGACGGCAUCACAAGUCAGAAGUGAAAAUCCGGGGCUCAACCCCGGAACUGCUUUUGAAACUGUGGAGCUGGAGUGCAGGAGAGGUAAGCGGAAUUCCUAGUGUAGCGGUGAAAUGCGUAGAUAUUAGGAGGAACACCAGUGGCGAAGGCGGCUUACUGGACUGUAACUGACGUUGAGGCUCGAAAGCGUGGGGAGCAAACAGGAUUAGAUACCCUGGUAGUCCACGCCGUAAACG
rnacentral:rRNA from 1 species